rnacentral:rRNA from 1 species
UAGUCCACGCCGUAAACGAUGAGCACUAGUUUUUGGGGGAACUAACCCCCUCAGAAACGCAGCUAACGCAUUAAGUGCUCCGCCUGGGGAGUACGGUCGCAAGACUAAAACUCAAAGGAAUUGACGGGGGCCCGCACAAGCGGUGGAUUAUGUGGUUUAAUUCGAAGCAACGCGCAAAACCUUACCUAGGCUUGAAAUCCCGGAAAGAGGAAGUAAUGUUCCUUGUGCUCUUCGGAGAAUCCGGUGACAGGUGCUGCAUGGCUGUCGUCAGCUCGUGUUGUGAAAUGUUGGGUUAAGUCUCGCAACGAGCGCAACCCCUAUCUUUAGUUGCCAGCAUUAAGUUGGGCACUCUAGAGAGACUGUCUGGGUUAACCAGGAGGAAGGUGGGGAUGACGUCAAGUCCUCAUGGCCCUUAUGCCUAGGGGCUACACACGUAAUACAAUGGAGCAUACAAAGGGAAGCGAUCUGGUGACAGUGAGCUAAUCUCAAAAAGUG